CGGUGGAGCAUGUGGUUUAAUUCGAAGCAACGCGAAGAACCUUUACCAGGUCUUGACAUCCCGAUGCUAUUUCUAGAGAUAGAAAGUUACUUCGGUACAUCGGUGACAGGUGGUGCAUGGUUGUCGUCAGCUCGUGUCGUGAGAUGUUGGGUUAAGUCCCGCAACGAGCGCAACCCCUAUUGUUAGUUGCCAUCAUUCAGUUGGGCACUCUAGCGAGACUGCCGGUAAUAAACCGGAGGAAGGUGGGAUGACGUCAAAUCAUCAUGCCCCUUAUGACCUGGGCUACACACGUGCUACAAUGGUUGGUACAACGAGUUGCGAGUCGGUGACGGCGAGCUAAUCUCUUAAAGCCAAUCUCAGUUCGGAUUGUAGGCUGCAACUCGCCUACAUGAAGUCGGAAUCGCUAGUAAUCGCGGAUCAGCACGCCGCGGUGAAUACGUUCCCGGGCCUU
rnacentral:rRNA from 1 species